UGCAUCUUUGAUGCUGAUUAUUUUCCAUUCAUCACUGACGUAGUCCAUCGCUUUCCUUUUUAACUCCUCUCCCCUUUCCCCUUUUUCUUUUUCGAGUGGGAUUUUUCCCUCUGCUCUUGGUGGGGUUGCGGGAGUCCGGCUCCCGUAGGUGAAGUCGGGGCAAAGUCUGGCUCCUGUGGGAGUCCGGACGGAGUCUACCUGCAAUUGAAGUCAGGGGCGAAGUCCGGC
rnacentral:lncRNA from 1 species